GAUGAACGCUGGCGGCGUGCUUAAUACAUGCAAGUCGAACGAAGAGCCUUUGUAGCAAUACGAGGGUUUCUUAGUGGCGAACGGGUGCGUAACGCGUUGGUGACCUGCCCUAAAGCGAGGGAUAACAGUCCGAAAGGGCUGCUAAUACCUCAUGUGAUUGUAGGGUUUAGAAGCUUACAAUUAAAGGAGUAAUUCACUUCGAGAGGGACCUGCGUACCAUCAGCUAGUUGGUGAGGUAACGGCCCACCAAGGCGAUGACGGUUAGGGGACCUGAGAGGGUGGCCCCCCACAAUGGAAUGAAACACGGUCCAUACACCUACGGGUGGCUG
rnacentral:rRNA from 1 species